rnacentral:rRNA from 1 species
GACGAACGCUGGCGGCGUGCUUAACACAUGCAAGUCGAACGGUAAGGCCCUUCGGGGUACACGAGUGGCGAACGGGUGAGUAACACGUGGGUGAUCUGCCCUGCACUUCGGGAUAAGCCUGGGAAACUGGGUCUAAUACCGGAUAGGACCACUGCCUGCAUGGGUGGUGGUGGAAAGCUUUUGCGGUGUGGGAUGGGCCCGCGGCCUAUCAGCUUGUUGGUGGGGUGAUGGCCUACCAAGGCGACGACGGGUAGCCGGCCUGAGAGGGUGACCGGCCACACUGGGACUGAGAUACGGCCCAGACUCCUACGGGAGGCAGCAGUGGGGAAUAUUGCACAAUGGGCGCAAGCCUGAUGCAGCGACGCCGCGUGAGGGAUGACGGCCUUCGGGUUGUAAACCUCUUUCAGCAUCGACGAAGCGAAAGUGACGGUAGGUGCAGAAGAAGGACCGGCCAACUACGUGCCAGCAGCAGCCGCGG